rnacentral:rRNA from 1 species
UAUGAACGCUAGCGACAGGCUUAACACAUGCAAGUCGAGGGGCAGCACGGUGUAGCGAUACACUGGUGGCGACCGGCGCACGGGUGAGUAACACGUGUGCAACCAACCCCGUACCGGGAGAUAACCCGCGGAAACGUGGACUAACAUCCCAUGAUACUCGAGAGCCGCAUGGCUCUAGAUUUAAAAUUCCGGUGGUACGGGACGGGCACGCGCGACAUUAGGUAGUUGGCGGGGUAAGGGCCCACCAAGCCGACGAUGUCUAGGGGUUCUGAGAGGGCGAACGGCCACAUUGGGACUGAGACACGGCCCAA